rnacentral:rRNA from 1 species
UAAGAGGUCCCGCCUGCCCUGUGACUUUAGUUUAACGGCCGCGGUAUUUUGACCGUGCGAAGGUAGCGCAAUCACUUGUCUUUUAAAUGAAGACCCGUAUGAAUGGCACCACGAGGGCUUAGCUGUCUCCUUUUUCGAGUCAAUGAAAUUGAUCUCCCCGUGCAGAAGCGGGGAUGCAAAUAUAAGACGAGAAGACCCUAUGGAGCUUUAGACCUAGUGCAGAUCACGAAAAAUACUUUAUACAAAAAGAUUAAGCCCAAUGACUCCCGCAUGACUGUCUUUGGUUGGGGCGACCACGGGGAAAAAUAAAACCCCCACGAGGACUGAGAGUUUUACUCCUAAAACCAAGAGCUACAGCUCUAAGUAUCAGAAAUUCUGACCUACCUGAUCCGGGCAACCGAUCAACGAACCAAGUUACCCUAGGGAUAACAGCGCAAUCCUCUUCCAGAGCCCAUAUCGACAAGGGGGUUUACGACCUCGAUGUUGGAUCAGGACAUCCUAAUGGUGCAGCCGCUAUUAAGGGUUCGUUUGUUCAACG